UACGGGGGGGGGCAAGCGGUUGUUCGGAAUUACUGGGCGUAAAGGGCUCGUAGGCGGCCAACUAAGUCAGACGUGAAAUCCCUCGGCUUAACCGGGGAACUGCGUCUGAUACUGGAUGGCUUGAGAUUGGGAGAGGGAUGCGGAAUUCCAGGUGUAGCGGUGAAAUGCGUAGAUAUCUGGAGGAACACCGGUGGCGAAAGCGGCUCACUGGAUCGAGUCUGACACUGAGGUGCGAAAGCUAGGGUAGCAAACGGG
rnacentral:rRNA from 1 species